AUGAACGCUGGCGGCGUGCCUAAUACAUGCAAGUCGAGCGAACAGAUGAGGAGCUUGCUCCUCUGACGUUAGCGGCGGACGGGUGAGUAACACGUGGAUAACCUACCUAUAAGACUGGGAUAACUUCGGGAAACCGGAGCUAAUACCGGAUAAUAUAUUGAACCGCAUGGUUCAAUAGUGAAAGACGGUUUUGCUGUCACUUAUAGAUGGAUCCGCGCCGCAUUAGCUAGUUGGUAAGGUAACGGCUUACCAAGGCAACGAUGCGUAGCCGACCUGAGAGGGUGAUCGGCCACACUGGAACUGAGACACGGUCCAGACUCCUACGGGAGGCAGCAGUAGGGAAUCUUCCGCAAUGGGCGAAAGCCUGACGGAGCAACGCCGCGUGAGUGAUGAAGGUCUUCGGAUCGUAAAACUCUGUUAUUAGGGAAGAACAAAUGUGAAAGUAACUAUGCACGUCUUGACGGUACCUAAUCAGAAAGCCACGGCUAACUACGUG
rnacentral:rRNA from 1 species